AUCAGUGAAACUGAUCUUCCCGUGAAGAAGCGGGAAUUAUUCUAUAAGACGAGAAGACCCCAUGAAGCUUCAAAUAGGUGUCAACUGUUAACUUUACACCACCAGAUAUAUAAUAGCCCUGACUACUAAUUUUUGGUUGGGGCGACCGCGGAGUAAAACAAAACCUCCACAAUGAAAAGACCUAACCCAUUAUUCAAGAACAACAGUUCUAGCAAUCAACACAUUGACAUAAUUGACCCAAACCCCCUUGAUCAAUGAACCAAGUUACUCUGGGGAUAACAGCGCUAUCUAUUUCAAGAGUUCAUAUCGACAAAUGGGUUUACGACCUCGAUGUUGGAUCAGGGUAUCCCAGUGGUGCAGCCGCUACUAAAGGUUCGUUUGUUCAACGAUUAAAACCCCACGUGAUCUGAGUU
rnacentral:rRNA from 1 species